UGUGUGUUAGUGGAAGCGUCUGGAAAGGCGCGCGAUACAGGGUGACAGCCCCGUACACAAAAGCGCAUGUGCUGUGAGCUCGAUGAGUAGGGCGGGACACGUGGUAUCCUGUCUGAAUAUGGGGGGACCAUCCUCCAAGGCUAAAUACUCCUGACUGACCGAUAGUGAACCAGUACCGUGAGGGAAAGGCGAAAAGAACCCCGGCGAGGGGAGUGAAACAGAACCUGAAACCGU
rnacentral:rRNA from 1 species